rnacentral:rRNA from 1 species
GAUGAACGCUAGCUACAGGCUUAACACAUGCAAGUCGAGGGGAAACGAUAGAGAAAGCUUGCUUUUUCUAGGCGUCGACCGGCGCACGGGUGAGUAACGCGUAUCCAACCUGCCCAUCACUUGGGGAUAACCUUGCGAAAGUAAGACUAAUACCCAAUGAUAUCUCUAGAAGACAUCUGAAAGAGAUUAAAGAUUUAUCGGUGAUGGAUGGGGAUGCGUCUGAUUAGCUUGUUGGUGAGGUAACGGCCCACCAAGGCGACGAUCAGUAGCCGGCCUGAGAGGGUGAACGGCCACAUUGGGACUGAGACACGGCCCAAACUCCUACGGGAGGCAGCAGUGGGGAAUAUUGCACAAUGGGGGGAAACCCUGAUGCAGCGACGCCGCGUGAGUGAUGAAGUAUUUCGGCUCGUAAACCUCUGUCCUAUGGGACGAAGGAAGUGACGGUACCAUAGGAGGAAGCCCCGGCUAACUACGUGCCAGCAGCCGCGGU